rnacentral:rRNA from 1 species
UACGUAGGGUGCAGGCGUUGUCCGGAAUUAUUGGGCGUAAAGAGCGUGUAGGCGGCCCGACCAGUCCGCUGUGAAAGUCCAGGGCUCAACCCUGGAAUGCCGGUGGAUACUGUCGGGCUAGAGUCCGGAAUGGGCGAGUGGAAUUCCUGGUGUAGCGGUGAAAUGCGCAGAUAUCAGGAGGAACACCAAUGGCGAAGGCAGCUCGCUGGGACGUGACUGACGCUGAGGCGCGAAAGCUAGGGGAGCAAACAGG